CUCAUUUACAGUCUGGUGCUCUGAAUUCAACCAGCAAAAAUCCCCUUUCCUUUCCUUAUCAUACCUGUACAACCUGGCUGACAGUCACAUAGGAGAAGCCCUGCUGAGUUUGCAAGAGUGAAUGCACUGCUGUCAGUUGCAGGAGGGGCUUUGUCCACAGUGGGACGAGGUCCCACCUGAUCCUGCUCCCACACCACUAAGCAUCUGCUCUGGAGCAAGGUGUUUGACUGGGGAGGAGGUCAGGUUGACAUAUCAGGAGUGCUUGAUUUCCAGCCCUGGCUUUCCCAGUGAGCCUGCACAGAAGGCUGUUCGCCCAUGAAAUCUGAUGAUCUACACAAAGACAAGAACAGAGAGGUGAACAAGAGCAUGGAGUCUGUAGGCACUGGCAUAAUGGCAUAGAAAUUCAACUUGGUGCUUGAAAAAUGGCUUUUCUUCUUCCCUUUUUCUUUUAGAAAUGUGGCACCCCACUGGCAAGGCUCUCUGGGAUUCAGUAUAAGGGCUGCAGACAAACAGGAAUGAAGGAAUAAAGAGGAACACUCAGAGGGGUGAGGACGGAGGGAGGCUUGGAUGCAGAGGAGGAGACUGAGCAUGGACAGUGAGAAGCCUUUCCCAGGAUGACUCCCACUCUGGAGAGGACAGCUGAGUGCCUACCAUCGGGGCUGUACUGGAGAGACACCAGUUUGAAGAGUGUACAUCAGAAAACGAUCACAGCCCGUUCACAUGGUGUCUGCUGGGCCUAUUGUCAGCUAAUCGAGACCAGCCUUGCUCCACCCAAGUCAGUGUGGCAUCCAGGGAGGCUGGUGAGGAAUAAGCUGAAGCGUGAGUGUGAAGGGCACUGUCAGUUCUGCAGAAAUGGCUCUUAUUUCACAGGGCUAACGUCACAUCCAGAGUGCUCACAGCAGUCUUUGUGCAGGUAUCCUCUGGGGAGUGAGUGAGAAGCAGCUAUUCUGAGCUAUCCCCUUAUUUAGCUGACACCAAUCAAAGCAAAUGGACAAAAGUGAGCAUCACGAUUUUGGAUCUGUGAAAUGAAGGGAAUAAGUGAAGGGAAUUUGGACUCACUGUACAAAGGAAGUCCCAGGAAGAGGUUCAUCUUAUCAACACCUUUUGCUUUGGGGGCAGCUCUUUUACAAGCAAUUCUUCCACUUCUACAAAGCCGUUGUGGCAGUCAGCAUCAGCACCAUCUCUGCCCCUGGAUUUUGCAAUGCAGACAAGGUCAUGGGAUAGUGGUGCUGGGUCAACAAAUAAAAGAAAAAGAAGCAGUGAAGCUGUCCUUCA
rnacentral:lncRNA from 1 species